rnacentral:lncRNA from 1 species
AAUUAUGAUGUGAAUUGUCGAAAGUGGGAUAAGAAUUGAUGCUGGGGGUUGAGAAGAGAGGGAAUAGAGAUAGAGAUAGAGAUAGAGAUAGAGAUAAAGGACUGGGGUUAGAAGUAGAGAAGAGAAGAGGAGAGUUGGGAAGAGAAGUAGUAGAGAAGAAGAAGGGUUUGGAGAAGAACUUUUGGGAAAGAAAAUAGACUAAUUCAUUUCCUUCAUUGGUUUUCUCACAUUACAUUCUUGUAUAUUUUAUAUACUGCCUAACACUUGUACUGAAAUUAAAACGAAACUAUCCUAU